GCUGGGUGCGGUGGCGCAUGCCUGUAGUCCCAGCUACUCGGGAAGCUGAGGUGGGAGGAUUGCUUGAGCCCAGGAGUUCUGGGCUAUAGUGUGCUAUGCCGAUCAGAUGUCCACACUAAGUUCGGCAUCAAUAUGGUGACCUCCCAGAAGUGGGGCACCACCAGGUUGCCUAAGGAGGGGUGAACCAGCCCAGGUCAGAAACAGAGCAGGUCAAAACUCCCGUGCUGAUCAGUACUGGGAUCGCGCCUGUGAAUAGCCACUGCACUCACAUAGCGAGACCCCAUCUCUA
ensembl:misc_RNA Metazoa_SRP Metazoan signal recognition particle RNA